rnacentral:rRNA from 1 species
AUUGAACGCUGGCGGCAGGCUUAACACAUGCAAGUCGAGCGGGGGAAGGUAGCUUGCUACCGGACCUAGCGGCGGACGGGUGAGUAAUGCUUAGGAAUCUGCCUAUUAGUGGGGGACAACAUCUCGAAAGGGAUGCUAAUACCGCAUACGUCCUACGGGAGAAAGCAGGGGAUCUUCGGACCUUGCGCUAAUAGAUGAGCCUAAGUCGGAUUAGCUAGUUGGUGGGGUAAAGGCCUACCAAGGCGACGAUCUGUAGCGGGUCUGAGAGGAUGAUCCGCCACACUGGGACCGAGAAACGGCCCAGACUCCUACGGGAGGCAGCAGUGGGGAAUAUUGGACAAUGGGGGGAACCCUGAUCCAGCCAUGCCGCGUGUGUGAAGAAGGCCUUAUGGUUGUAAAGCACUUUAAGCGAGGAGGAGGCUACUUUAGUUAAUACCUAGAGAUAGUGGACGUUACUCGCAGAAUAAGCACCGGCUAACUCUGUGCCAGCCGCCGCCGUAA